rnacentral:rRNA from 1 species
GGAUUCCCCCUAGUAACUGCGAGUGAAGCGGGAAAAGCUCAAAUUUAAAAUCUGGCGGUCUCUGGCCGUCCGAGUUGUAAUCUAGAGAAGUAAUGCCCGUGCUGGACCGUGUAUAAGUCUCCUGGGAUGGGGCGUCAUAGAGGGUGAGAAUCCCGUCUUUGACACGGACUACCAGUGCAUUGUGGUAUGCUCUCAAAGAGUCGAGUUGUUUGGGAAUGCAGCUCAAAAUGGGUGGUAAAUUCCAUCUAAAGCUAAAUAUUGGCGAGAGACCGAUAGCGAACAAGUACCGUGAGGGAAAGAUGAAAAGAACUUUGGAAAGAGAGUUAAACAGUACGUGAAAUUGCUGAAAGGGAAACGCUUGAAGUCAGUCGCGUUGGCCGGGGAUCAGCCUUGCUUUUGCAUGGUGUACUUUCUGGUUGACGGGUCAGCAUCAAUUUUGACCGCUGGAAAAAGACCUGGGGAAUGUGGCAGCUUCGGCUGUGUUAUAGCCCCUAGUCGCAUACAGUGGUUGGGAUUGAGGAACUCAGCACGCCGCAAGGCCGGGUUUCGACCACGUUCGUGCUUAGGAUGCUGGCAUAAUGGCUCUAAGCGACCCGUCUUGAAACACGGACCAAGGAGUCUAACAUGCCUGCGAGUAUUUGGGUGGAAAACCCAAGUGCGUAAUGAAAGUGAAAGUUGAGAUCCCUGUCGUGGGGAGCAUCGACGCCCGGACCAGAACUUUUGGGACGGAUCCGCGGUGGAGCAUGUAUGUUGGGACCCGAAAGAUGGUGAACUAUGCCUGAAUAGGGUGAAGCCAGAGGAAACUCUGGUGGAGGCUCGUAGCGAUUCUGACGUGCAAAUCGAUCGUCAAAUUUGGGUAUAGGGGCGAAAGACU